GGACGACAAUGCCCUUGUCGUUGCCAUCUUCAAUGGUGGGAUACCAACGCUCCAAAACUUGGUCAGCAUACUCAAAAGCAUCAGCUUUGCUCUGAAACACAACGCUUGAAAUGUUCAGUUUUCAAAGUUUAAGCAACCAAACAAGAUAACAGCAUUUUCCCAUCAUGAAAAAAGGGAUUUUCAGAAAGAAGAACUUACAGUGAGCUUUCUAACGGUUAUGAAAUUGAUGUGAAUAUUCUUUCUGGACUCCAAAUCAGACAACAAUCUCUUCAAAUCUGAUUUCGUAACUCGGCUAAGCACUCCUGCAUCAUCAACAACAUAGGAUUCUUUCGG